rnacentral:rRNA from 1 species
CCCCGAGGAAAAGAAAUCAACCGAGAUUCCCCCAGUAGCGGCGAGCGAACGGGGAGCAGCCCAGAGCCUGAAUCAGUGUGUGUGUUAGUGGAAGCGUCUGGAAAGGCGUGCGAUACAGGGUGACAGCCCCGUACACAAAAAUGCACAUAUUGUGAGCUCGAUGAGUAGGGCGGGACACGUGGUAUCCUGUCUGAAUAUGGGGGGACCAUCCUCCAAGGCUAAAUACUCCUGACUGACCGAUAGUGAACCAGUACCGUGAGGGAAAGGCGAAAAGAACCCCGGCGAGGGGAGUGAAAAAGAACCUGAAACCGUGUACGUACAAGCAGUGGGAGCACGCUUAGGCGUGUGACUGCGUACCUUUUGUAUAAUGGGUCAGCGACUUAUAUUCUGUAGCAAGGUUAACCGAAUAGGGGAGCCGAAGGGAAACCGAGUCUUAACUGGGCGUUAAGUUGCAGGGUAUAGACCCGAAACCCGGUGAUCUAGCCAUGGGCAGGUUGAAGGUUGGGUAACACUAACUGGAGGACCGAACCGACUAAUGUUGAAAAAUUAGCGGAUGACUUGUGGCUGGGGGUGAAAGGCCAAUCAAACCGGGAGAUAGCUGGUUCUCCCCGAAAGCUAUUUAGGUAGCGCCUCGUGAAUUCAUCUCCGGGGGUAGAGCACUGUUUCGGCAAGGGGGUCAUCCCGA